AAUAGAUACCCGGGUAGUCCUAGCUGUAAACGAUGAGCACUGGAUUGAAGGACCCUCCAUAGUCUUUCAGUUCGUAGCGAAAGUGUUAAGUGCUCCGCCUGGGGGAGUAUGGUCGCAAGGCUGAAACUCGAAAGGAAUUGACGGGGGCUCACACAAGCGGUGGAGGAUGUGGCUUAAUUCGAGGCUACGCGAAGAACCUUAUCCUAGUCUUGACAUGUACGGAUUAACCCCCUGGGAAACAGGGGCCACGCCUUCGGGUGGAACGUGCACAGGUGCUGCAUGGCUGUCGUCAGCUCGUGUCGUGAGAUGUCGGGUUAAGUCCCUUAACGAGCGAAACCCUUGUCUCUAGUUGCCAGCGAGUAAUGUCGGGGACUCUAGAGAGACCGCCGGUGUUAAACCGGAGGAAGGUGGGGAUGACGUCAAGUCCUCAUGGCCUUUAUGACUAGGGCUGCACACGUCCUACAAUGGCACGCACAAAGGGGAUGCUAACUCGCGAGAGCAAGCAAAUCCCAAAAAUCGUGCCCUAGUUCGGAUUGCAGGC
rnacentral:rRNA from 1 species